UGACAAGACCUUCCAGGAAAAAACUAAAACUACUGUGGAAGACAAGCACAAGAAACUACUGAAUGAAAUCUACACAGUUUUUCAGAAGGCAAACAUCAAGCUUCUGCAGGCUCUUUAUCAACAACUAGC